GGUUAAGCGACUAAGCGUACACGGUGGAUGCCCUGGCAGUCAGAGGCGAUGAAGGACGUGCUAAUCUGCGAAAAGCGUCGGUAAGGUGAUAUGAACCGUUAUAACCGGCGAUGUCCGAAUGGGGAAACCCAGUGUGAUUCGUCACACUAUCGUUAACUGAAUACAUAGGUUAACGAGGCGAACCGGGGGAACUGAAACAUCUAAGUACCCCGAGGAAAAGAAAUCAACCGAGAUUCCCCCAGUAGCGGCGAGCGAACGGGGAGCAGCCCAGAGUCUGAAUCAGCUUGUGUGUUAGUGGAACGGUCUGGAAAGUCCGACGGUACAGGGUGAUAGUCCCGUACACCAAAAUGCACAGGCUGUGAACUCGAAGAGUAGGGCGGGACACGUGGUAUCCUGUCUGAAUAUGGGGGGACCAUCCUCCAAGGCUAAAUACUCCUGACUGACCGAUAGUGAACCAGUACCGUGAGGGAAAGGCGAAAAGAACCCCGGCGAGGGGAGUGAAAAAGAACCUGAAACCGUGUACGUACAAGCAGUGGGAGCACCUUCGGGUGUGACUGCGUACCUUUUGUAUAAUGGGUCAGCGACUUAUAUUCUGUAGCAAGGUUAACCGUAUAGGGGAGCCGCAGGGAAACCGAGUCUUAACUGGGCGUUAAGUUGCAGGGUAUAGACCCGAAACCCGGUGAUCUAGCCAUGGGCAGGUUGAAGGUUGGGUAACACUAACUGGAGGACCGAACCGACUAAUGUUGAAAAAUUAGCGGAUGACUUGUGGCUGGGGGUGAAAGGCCAAUCAAACCGGGAGAUAGCUGGUUCUCCCCGAAAGCUAUUUAGGUAGCGCCUCGUGAACUCAUCUUCGGGGGUAGAGCACUGUUUCGGCUAGGGGGUCAUCCCGACUUACCAACCCGAUGCAAACUACGAAUACCGAAGAAUGUUAUCACGGGAGACACACGGCGGGUGCUAACGUCCGUCGUGAAGAGGGAAACAACCCAGACCGCCAGCUAAGGUCCCAAAGUCAUGGUUAAGUGGGAAACGAUGUGGGAAGGCACAGACAGCCAGGAUGUUGGCUUAGAAGCAGCCAUCAUUUAAAGAAAGCGUAAUAGCUCACUGGUCGAGUCGGCCUGCGCGGAAGAUGUAACGGGGCUAAACCAUGCACCGAAGCUGCGGCAGCGACACUAUGUGUUGUUGGGUAGGGGAGCGUUCUGUAAGCCUGCGAAGGUGUGCUGUGAGGCAUGCUGGAGGUAUCAGAAGUGCGAAUGCUGACAUAAGUAACGAUAAAGCGGGUGAAAAGCCCGCUCGCCGGAAGACCAAGGGUUCCUGUCCAACGUUAAUCGGGGCAGGGUGAGUCGACCCCUAAGGCGAGGCCGAAAGGCGUAGUCGAUGGGAAACAGGUUAAUAUUCCUGUACUUGGUGUUACUGCGAAGGGGGGACGGAGAAGGCUAUGUUAGCCGGGCGACGGUUGUCCCGGUUUAAGCAUGUAGGCUGAUUGUCCAGGCAAAUCCGGAUAAUCAAGGCUGAGGUGUGAUGACGAGGCACUACGGUGCUGAAGUAACAAAUGCCCUGCUUCCAGGAAAAGCCUCUAAGCAUCAGGUAACAUCAAAUCGUACCCCAAACCGACACAGGUGGUCAGGUAGAGAAUACCAAGGCGCUUGAGAGAACUCGGGUGAAGGAACUAGGCAAAAUGGUGCCGUAACUUCGGGAGAAGGCACGCUGGUGUGUAGGUGAAGUCCCUGCGGAUGGAGCUGAGACCAGUCGAAGAUACCAGCUGGCUGCAACUGUUUAUUAAAAACACAGCACUGUGCAAACACGAAAGUGGACGUAUACGGUGUGACGCCUGCCCGGUGCCGGAAGGUUAAUUGAUGGGGUUAUCCGUAAGGAGAAGCUCUUGAUCGAAGCCCCGGUAAACGGCGGCCGUAACUAUAACGGUCCUAAGGUAGCGAAAUUCCUUGUCGGGUAAGUUCCGACCUGCACGAAUGGCGUAAUGAUGGCCAGGCUGUCUCCACCCGAGACUCAGUGAAAUUGAACUCGCUGUGAAGAUGCAGUGUACCCGCGGCAAGACGGAAAGACCCCGUGAACCUUUACUAUAGCUUGACACUGAACAUUGAGCCUUGAUGUGUAGGAUAGGUGGGAGGCUUUGAAGCGUGGACGCCAGUCUGCGUGGAGCCAACCUUGAAAUACCACCCUUUAAUGUUUGAUGUUCUAACGUUGGCCCCUGACCGGGGUUGCGGACAGUGUCUGGUGGGUAGUUUGACUGGGGCGGUCUCCUCCCAAAGCGUAACGGAGGAGCACGAAGGUUAGCUAAUCCUGGUCGGACAUCAGGAGGUUAGUGCAAUGGCAUAAGCUAGCUUGACUGCGAGCGUGACGGCGCGAGCAGGUGCGAAAGCAGGUCAUAGUGAUCCGGUGGUUCUGAAUGGAAGGGCCAUCGCUCAACGGAUAAAAGGUACUCCGGGGAUAACAGGCUGAUACCGCCCAAGAGUUCAUAUCGACGGCGGUGUUUGGCACCUCGAUGUCGGCUCAUCACAUCCUGGGGCUGAAGUAGGUCCCAAGGGUAUGGCUGUUCGCCAUUUAAAGUGGUACGCGAGCUGGGUUUAGAACGUCGUGAGACAGUUCGGUCCCUAUCUGCCGUGGGCGCUGGAGAAUUGAGGGGGGCUGCUCCUAGUACGAGAGGACCGGAGUGGACGCAUCACUGGUGUUCGGGUUGUCAUGCCAAUGGCACUGCCCGGUAGCUAAAUGCGGAAGAGAUAAGUGCUGAAAGCAUCUAAGCACGAAACUUGCCCCGAGAUGAGUUCUCCCUGAGACUAUAAGUCUCCUGAAGGAACGUUGAAGACGACGACGUUGAUAGGCCGGGUGUGUAAGCGCAGCGAUGCGUUGAGCUAACCGGUACUAAUGAACCGUGAGGCUUAACCUU
rnacentral:rRNA from 1 species